GGCUUUGCAUCAUCAGCUGAUCCUCCAGAGAACUGAGAAGGUUUAUAGUCCUGUGACUUCAACACUGCAGGACUCACAUCUGUCAGUCAACACAGCAGAAAGCACAACCACCAUGACUCUCAUCACCAUCCUCAUCUGGACGCUGACCUGCUGCUGUUUUACAGGAUGCAGCGGUCAGGUGACUGUGACUCAACCUCCAGUAGUGACAUUUACUCCUGGAUCUACUGUCACCCUGACCUGUAGGACCAACCAAGCUGUUGGUGGCUGUGGUGAUGGUCAGUGUAUGUUCUGGUAUCAACAGAAAUCUGGACAAACUCCAAAGCUCCUAAUUCGACAUGUAAGCAUAAGUCAUUCAGGAACACCAUCUCGAUUUAGUGGCAGUGGAAGCAGAUCUGACUUCUCUAUGACCAUUAGUGGAGUUCAGGCUGAAGAUGCAGCAGUUUACUACUGUAAGAGUGUGCAUAGCGGGCCAGUGUUCACACAAUGAUUUGUAGUCAUACAAAAACCUCCUUUAGUCAGACUGCAGAGACUCUGAGCUGUGACUGCAGCUGCUGAAGUAGGAGAGACUCUGACACAGACCAGUGAACACAGAGCAGACAUUAACCUCACCAAGCACUAAAUAAAGAAAUUAAUUUAAACACGUCAUGUCUAUUGAGGCAUUUCGAAAUAAGAAUUUUAAAAACAUCUGCUGUGAUCAAGUCAUUUUCUGUUAACAUUACAUUACUUGAAUAAUUACAUUACAUUCACAUGAAGAGUUUUGCUGUUUGUAUAAACAGGUGAAGCAUAAAUGUUUAUAUUUAUAUUCGUAUUAAGCUACUUGGUAAUGAUAAAAAAACAAUCUGUUUUAAGAUUUUUAUCAUUGUAUGUUGCCACCUGUAUAAUGA